GACGAACGCUGGCGGCGUGCUUAACACAUGCAAGUCGAACGGAAAGGCCCCUUUGGGGGUGCUCGAGUGGCGAACGGGCGAGUAACACGUGAGUAAGCUGCCCUUGACUUCGGGUUAACUUCAGGAAACUGGGGCGAAUACCGGCUAGGAAUCCUUUCUGCCUGGAGGGGGUUGGAAAACUUUGGGGGGUUUGGGUGGACGCGCGGCCUAUCUGCUUGUUGGUGGGGGAGUGGCUUACCAAGGCAUUGACUGGUGGCCGGCCUGGGAGGGCGACCGGCCACAAUGGGACUGAGAUAACGGCCCGACCCCCACGGGGGGGCAGAGGGGGGAAUAUUGCACAAAGGGCGGGAGGCCGAAGGAAGAACCGCGGGGGCGGGGAUACGGGCUUUGGGUUGUAAACCGCUUUCAGCAGGGGCCGAGCUUGUAGUGACGGUACCUGGUGAAGAAGCACCGGCUAACUACGUG
rnacentral:rRNA from 1 species